rnacentral:rRNA from 1 species
AGCGAACGCUGGCGGCAGGCUUAACACAUGCAAGUCGAGCGGGCGUAGCAAUACGUCAGCGGCAGACGGGUGAGUAACGCGUGGGAACAUACCUUUUGGUUCGGAACAACACAGGGAAACUUGUGCUAAUACCGGAUAAGCCCUUACGGGGAAAGAUUUAUCGCCGAAAGAUUGGCCCGCGUCUGAUUAGCUAGUUGGUGAGGUAAUGGCUCACCAAGGCGACGAUCAGUAGCUGGCUGAGAGGAUGAUCAGCCACAUUGGGACUGAGACACGGCCCAAACUCCUACGGGAGGCAGCAGUGGGGAAUAUUGGACAAUGGGCGCAAGCCUGAUCCAGCCAUGCCGCGUGAGUGAUGAAGGCCCUAGGGUUGUAAAGCUCUUUUGUGCGGGAAGAUAAUGACGGUACCGCAAGAAUAAGCCCCGGCUAACUUCGUGCCAGCAGCCGCAGUAAC